AUUUAUCAAGUGCUUUCUAUGGUCCAUGUUGUGCUAAGAGCUUUAUGUGGAUUUUUUUCAGUUCAUCCUCACAACCUCAUGUGGUAGACACUAUUUUUAUUCCAUUCUUUUAUAGAUUAUUAAAUUGAAAAUUCAAGAGGAUGGAAGUGCAUGUUGUAGAGGAUAAAGUCUGUCCUGCAUGCUGUGCAGUGUCCUGAUGAUACUGGCCCGGACUCACUGAUGCUGCCAUGUCCUCAUGGUCUCUAAGUGAUUUGAUACCUCUGUGUGCUGUCUCACAGUCUCUUGGCCUCACUUCUGACUCCAACUAUGGCUAUGGCAAACAGUUCUUGUGGCCUUUGACUCACU
rnacentral:lncRNA from 1 species